UACGGAGGGUGCAAGCGUUAUCCGGAUUCACUGGGUUUAAAGGGUGCGUAGGCGGGCAGGUAAGUCCGUGGUGAAAUCUCUGAGCUUAACCCGGAAAGGUCAGCCGAUACUGCGGGGCUAGAGUGCAGAAGGGGCAACUGGAAUUCUCGGUGUAGCGGUGAAAUGCGUAGAUAUCGGGAGGAACACCAGUGGCGAAGGCGGCUGCCUGGGCCAGUUCUGACGCUGAGGCGCGAAAGCGUGGGGAGCAAACAGG
rnacentral:rRNA from 1 species